UCUCCCUGACACCCUGCCGACUCCUUCUGGGACCGAGCAGGAGUCACAUCCAAGGGCUGGGUCAUUAUCUGAUAAAUGAGUGGGUUGUGCGGAUGAGUAAACAGGGACUGACCCAGAGGUCAGGUGUAACUCAGCCUCAGAAACUGCAUGUGUCAAUAGGACUCGAAGGGCCAAGGAAUGUGUUUUUCGUUGAUGUCAACUUGCUGCAAAGGACCACACCUGCUUCUCGACCCAGGAACGUGGGAAAGAGAAAGGCAUGGCUUGUUUUGGUGGAGAUGGAGAUGCUGGUAACAGUGGAGGAAUGCCCUUCUUCUGAUUCACAGUGGGGAGGUGCUCUGGGCCCCUGCCACUGCCCGAGGACUUCGGCUUUUGGUUGUCCUGCUGAGAGAAUGCAGCAUUUGAGCAGUAGCUUCUGGAGCCCAGAGUGAAGCCCCACCCAGGCACCCUGACAGGACCACGGGAAUGCUCCCGGCACAGCAAGCAGGACUCUGGAGAAGCGCAGCCUCCACGCUCCUUGUAGAUGUUCAGUACAAACUCCACAGUUUGUGUGACUCACUGAGGGGCUUGGUUUGGCUCUUGCUGACGAGUCUGUCAUCGGUGCCAGGAGCUGAGAACAGCCCCUCUUCCUAUUUGAGGCUGGCCUGUCCAUGCGCACCCUUGGCCUCACAUCAAUGGAGGAUCACCCAUCCCUUCCUCGUGCUAGAAACCCAAUGGCUGUAUUCCAUGAGCCUGCAGGACUCUUGCUCUCCUCCUUAUUUAACUGCACCAGCUUAGGAGUAGCCUACAUGCUCCAUCUUCAUUUCCUUACCCCAUCUACUCCAUAGUCUACCAUUCUCUUGCUGAGGUUGCUUACCUGGCUUCUGUCCUCUACACUCUUUUCCACACUCACUUGUCCAGGUGCACAUUGAUGCCUACGCCUGACUAUCCUACAGAUAACUCGAAUUCAAGAUGGCGGGGAAUAAACUCACCCUCUUAUUCUAUAUGUCUGCCUGUCCUUCAGUAUUUCUCAUGUGGGAUAAGGGUGCUAUGAUUCGCCCACUUGUCCAAGACAGAACACCUCGAUUUCAUUCUUUUUUUAAAUUUUUAAUUUUUUUUUGAGACAGAGUUUCGCUCUUGUCACCCAGGCUGGAGUACAAUAGUGCGAUCUCAGCUCACCGCAACCUGUGCCUCCCUGGUUCAAGCAAUUCUCCUGCCUCAGCCUCCUGAGUAGCUGGGAUUACAGGCACCCACCACAAUGCCUGGCUAAUUUUUUGUUUUUUUGUUUGUUUGUUUUUGUUUUCGAGACAGAGUUUUGCUUUUGUUGCCCAGGCUGGAGUGCAAUGGCACGAUCUCGGCUCACCACAACCUCUGCCUCCCGGGCUCAAGCGAUUCUCCUGCCUCAGCCUCCUGAGUAGCUGGGGUUGCAGGCAUGCGCCACCAUGCCUGGCUAAUUUUGUAUUUUUAGUAAAGAUGGGAUUUCUCCAUGUUGGUCAGGCUGGUCUCGAACUCCCAGUCUCAGGUGGUCCUCCCGCCUUGGCCUCUGAAAGUGCUGGGAUUACAGGCAUGAGCCACUGUGCCCAGCCAAUUUUUUGUGUUUUUAAUAGAGAGGGGGUUUCACCACGUUGGCCAGGCUGGUCUCAAACUCCUGACCCCAGGUGAUCCACCCGCCUUGGCCUCCCAAAAUGCUGGGACUGCAGGUGUGAGCCACCGCACCUGGCCUGGAUGUCAUUCUUGACUCCACUUUGCUGACAUAUUCUAUCACUGAGUUCCACCCGCAUGGUUCCCUUGGCCAGGGAUAACACCGUUUCUCACCCUCCUGACAGCUCCCAUUCUUCCUGCAAAAUCCUCACCUGACGUCACUAUGGCUGCAAAGCUUCCCCAACUUCCUCCCUAAGAGAUACGCAGUGGCACUUUUUUUUUUUUUUUUUUUUUUUUUGAGACGGAGUCUUGCUCUGUCACCCAGGCUGGAGUGCAGUAGUGUGAUCUCGGCUCACUGCAACCUCCGCCUCCUGGGCUCAAGUGAUUCUCCUGCCACAGCCUCCCGAGUAGCUGGGACUAUAGGUGCGCAGCACCACACCCGGCUAAUUUUUGUAUUUUUAGUAGAGACGGGGUUUCACUAUGUUGACCAAAAUGGUCUCCAUCUCCUGACCUCUAAGAGGCGGGCCCGAUUCCCCCACCUCGACCUCCCAAAGUGCUGGGAUUACAGGCAUGAGCCACUGCGCCC